rnacentral:sRNA from 1 species
CCGCCACCGCUGCUGCCGCCCUCGGCCACGGGUCCCGACGCGACAGUGGGCGGGCCAGCGCCGACCCCGCUGCUGCCCCCCUCGGCCACAGCCUCGGUCAAGAUGGAGCCGGAGAACAAGUACCUGCCCGAACUCAUGGCCGAGAAGGACUCGCUGGACCCGUCCUUCACUCACGCCAUGCAGCUGCUGACGGCAGAAAUUGAGAAGAUUCAGAAAGGAGACUCAAAAAAGGAUGAUGAGGAGAAUUACUUGGACUUAUUUUCUCAUAAGAACAUGAAACUGAAAGAGCGAGUGCUGAUACCUGUCAAGCAGUAUCCCAAGUUCAAUUUUGUGGGGAAGAUUCUUGGACCACAAGGAAAUACAAUCAAAAGACUGCAGGAAGAGACUGGUGCAAAGAUCUCUGUGUUGGGAAAGGGCUCAAUGAGAGACAAAGCCAAGGAGGAAGAGCUGCGCAAAGGUGGAGACCCCAAAUAUGCCCACUUAAAUAUGGAUCUGCAUGUCUUCAUUGAAGUCUUUGGACCCCCAUGUGAGGCUUAUGCUCUUAUGGCCCAUGCCAUGGAGGAAGUCAAGAAAUUUCUAGUACCGGAUAUGAUGGAUGAUAUCUGCCAGGAGCAAUUUCUAGAGCUGUCCUACUUGAAUGGAGUACCUGAACCCUCUCGUGGACGUGGGGUGCCAGUGAGAGGCCGGGGAGCUGCACCUCCUCCACCACCUGUUCCCAGGGGCCGUGGUGUUGGACCACCUCGGGGGGCUUUGGUACGUGGUACACCAGUAAGGGGAGCCAUCACCAGAGGUGCCACUGUGACUCGAGGCGUGCCACCCCCACCUACUGUGAGGGGUGCUCCAGCACCAAGAGCACGGACAGCAGGCAUCCAGAGGAUACCUUUGCCUCCACCUCCUGCACCAGAAACAUAUGAAGAAUAUGGAUAUGAUGAUACAUACGCAGAACAAAGUUAUGAAGGCUACGAAGGCUAUUACAGCCAGAGUCAAGGGGACUCAGAAUAUUAUGACUAUGGACAUGGGGAGGUUCAAGAUUCUUAUGAAGCUUAUGGCCAGGACGACUGGAAUGGGACCAGGCCGUCGCUGAAGGCCCCUCCUGCUAGGCCAGUGAAGGGAGCAUACAGAGAGCACCCAUAUGGACGUUAUUAAAAACAAACAUGAGGGGAAAAUAUCAGUUAUGAGCAAAGUUGUUACUGAUUUCUUGUAUCUCCCAGGAUUCCUGUUGCUUUACCCACAACAGACAAGUGACUGAAAACUCCUGAGGCAUUUCCUGGACUAGAAUGGGUAGUGAAGACCCAUGUCAGCUAUCAGAGGACUCCUGAAACCUGGAGGGCUACCUGCUGUAUAAAGGCUGGCCUGAGGGCAUUUGCUGAACACGGAGAAACCCAGGAGAGGAGAUCAGCAGUUUUCUUUCACUCCACUUGAUCUGUCAGAUUUACCCACAGAAAGCCAGUCAGGAUCCGUUAAGAGUCUUUAGGCCCAGAAUGGAGUCCUCAGGGCUGCAGGGGACUGUGGUGCUAACAAUUAAACUGUUCAAGAAUUUAAAGAGUUGAAGGGGACUAAAGGGUAUCCCUAGCAUGGCCUCCUAGAUGGGAAUGAACUGGCAACUCCUACUGUGCCAUUCCCAGUCUGUGUGCUUCCCUUUAGCCUCCCAUAGAAUUGGCUGAAACACCCUACCACCAUUUUCUGUUUUCCCCACUACCACACCUGUGUUAUGGGUGUCAGCCUGUGAGUCCUUGAACCCUUCCAGAGGGCUCCCAAGGGAGGGUGAUCACCACCCCUCCAUAAAAGGCUGAGGAAAGCCAAGUGAGAAGAUUGAAUUAAUUUGGGCAAGUUAUUUAACAUCUGAACCUGUUUUUCUCUUCAUUGUUUAUUACUUACCUUGUCCAAAAAGGUCAUAAAGGGUAGGGCUUUUUCUGUUCCACCUCUGUACUAUAUUUCUCCCCAACAAGUAUCUGCCCCUGAGGACCUCAAUAAAGGUUUGGUCAAGUGA